GAAUUACAUCAAGAGAGAGCGAAAGCUCCACCAACCAGCCUAAUCGGGCAACGGUGGUUCAACGAUGAGACCGAAAAAGAAAUACUUAAGUAGGUAACAAUACGAUUGAGC
rnacentral:ncRNA from 10 species